GUGACAGAGUGAGACCCUGUCUUGGGGAAAAAAAAGGAGGGUAUCACCCUGGACAUUUCCCUAGAGCACCUUUCCAAUCAAGCUUCACCCCUGUAGGCAACCACUUACUCCAUCAGCAUAGGUUAGUUUAGCCUGUUUUAAAAUUUCACAUAAAUAGGAUCAAACAGUAUUUAUUCCCUUGUGUCUGGCUUCUUUUGAUCAAUAUAAUGUUUCUGAUAUUCAGUCAUCUUUCAGAUUGUAUCAGUAGAUCAUUUUUAAAUUGCUUAUAGUAUUCUGUCACAUGACUAUAUCACCUAUAUAUUUUCCCUUCUGAUUGAUAUUUUCAUUGCUUUCAGUUUGAGGCUAUUACAAAUAAAACUGCUACAAACACUCUUGUACAAGUAUUUUUGCGAGCACAUGUAUUCACUUCUCUGAAUAAAUACUAGGAGUCAAAUGAGUUAGGCCACAAAGUAUACAUUUAACUGCUAAACAGGUUUCCAAAGUCCUUUCACCAUUUUACACUAUGCCAAUUAUGUAUGAGAAUUAAUUUUAGCCUUGUUAUAUUAAUUUGCAUUUUUCUAAUAACUAAUGAUGCUGCAUACCUUCCUCCUGUGAUUACAUACAUGAAUAUAUCUUCUCUGGUGAAGUGUCAUUCAAGUCAUUUUAAAAUUUGAGUUAUUGUAUUUUUAGGUAGUAGAAUUUAUUUAUUUGGAUGUAAGUCCUUUGUCAGGUAUAUAUAUUUUGAAUAUUUUAUCUCAAUCUCUGGCUUUACUUUUUUCUUGCAAUAUAUUUUGCUAAGCAUCUUUUAAUUUUAGUGAAGCCCUAUUUAGCAAUUUUUUUCUUUUAAGGUUAGUGGCUUGUGCCCUCUGUAAUAAAUCAUUUUUUAAUUUGUUCUUUAGCUUAAAAAAUUAACAGUUAAUGAAUAAGAAUGUAUUUCUACUGUAAAGAAAAAUUAAGCAAGAUAUUUUGUGAAUAAAUUUUAGAUCAAAUAUGUAUUAUACCUUAAAGUUUCCACUAUUUCAUUGUUUUGAACACAAAGAUUCAAAGUGGUCACAAAGAAUAGCAGCUUUAAAGUAAUUUAAUUUCUAUUUCUUUGCCUUUACAAUAACUGUGCUAUUGUUUAAUUGAAUCUAUUACCUAAACAAAGGAUUAUGUAGUAUUAUCAAAUGGGCUAGAGAUUUGAAUUAAAGCUGAAGAAAACUAUUUCUAACCAUUAUAAAUCCUAAAUCAGGGUUUGGUGAACUUUUUCUGGAAAAGGCCAGAUAGCAAACAUUUUAGGCUUUGCAAGCAUUAUGGUCUCUGUACCAGCUGAGGUGCUAUAGUGUGAAAGCAGCCACAGACAACACAUAAAUGAAUUAGCAUGACUGUUCUAACAAAACUCCACUUAUGGACACUGGUAUUUGAAUUUCAUAAUAAUUUUUACAUCACUAAGUACUGUCCUUCUAAUUUUUAAAAAUCAUUAAAAAAUAUAAAAACCAUUCUUAGCUCAUGGGUUGUAUAAAAACAGGCAGUAGACAGAUUUGGCCCAGGGGUUAUAGUUUGUUGUCCCAUGGCCUAGAGAAAGUUGUUUCUGUCAAUGUUCCUUGUUGUCCCCUUUUGUGAGACAGGUUUAUUUCUAGUUCAUCCUAAAUAUGCUGGUAAAGCCAUGUGGGUACAGCUCUGUUUACAAAAGAGGUAUCAUUAGAUUCUUUGAUAGGCUUUAGACUUUGUCACCUGCCUCAAUGUGCAAAUUGAGCUCAGGGUAAAGAAAGAGGCUUUUGCACAAAUCCCUAGAAAAGGUAGCUUGAGUCCUACCUUAUCUCUCUGGGUUUCUGCAUUCAUUUUGCUUUUGACCUGUGAAUUUCUUAAAUUUCUUCUCAGCUCAGUUAUAUAUUUUAUUCAGCAUCUGUGGCCAUUUUCAGUAGCAGAAUUAUUCAGGGUAUUUUGUCAUUCUGCUAGAAACAGUGACCCUCUAAUCACAAGUGAUUUUUACUCACAUUACUUAAAUCACUGUGUUGGUGCACCUUCUUUUAUUACCUUACGUAAGUUUUCAAAGUUUUGGAGGUUAAUGUCUUAGAGAGACUUUUCAAUUCCUUCCCAGGAAUUAUACUUUACACUCAGGCUUUCUUAAUAAGAAAGUGUCACUAUUGGUGCAAUGGGUUUAAUCCGGCUGCUUAGGAUACCUAUAAUGUAGGCAGAAACUUUAAUCAAUAUUGAAUUAGUCUAAUCAUAAACGAAACCUAGAUAUACUUGUCUGUUAUAAAUAAUAGAUUUUAAAUUUAUUAAAUCAGUAAUAUCAAAUAACAGGAAAUAACACUUAAUGGAUAAAGAUAACUCUAUUGAAUCUGUUUGAUGUAGGUAGGAUUUCACAGACCAUCAGCUUUAUAAGGAUCAUUUAAGUUUUAUUCUCUUAACUGUUCACACACAAUUUCUGGAACAUUCACCAAAUAAGGUAUGUGUGAUCUACUUUAGAAAUAGUUCCAAAUUCUGAUAAAUUCUUCCUGUAUGAAUAACCUCUAGCAGACUCUUCCAAAUGGAAAUUAAUGCUGUCAACUCAAUUUUUAUAGUGCCAUUCAGACUUCUAAUCUGUACAUGAAUUCCACAUUCUUUGGACUUUCCUUAAUGAUCAUAUGAUUAAAACAGAUAAAUGAACAAGAAUUCUGUACUGCCAAUAUCAUUUAGGUUUUGCAAAAAAGAAUGUAGCUGGCCUUUGUCCCUGGUCCCUAGGAGGGAGACUGUAACUCCUUGAAAUUUCCCCAUGAUCAGAGUGUCUUCAUUAUUUAUGGUGGGCUAAUGAUAGUUUAAACUAAUGUGGUGACUCAAGAUGGGGUCUGGACAUUCUAGAAAGGGCAACCAUGUGAUUAGAAGGUUGGUACUUUGAGCCAUGUGAUACCAGCCUGACCUGCAGGGAGGGAAGUAUGGAGGUUGAGUUCCACUGCAUGGUUAUGAUUCAGUCAAUCAUACUUAUGUAAUAAAACCCCAAUAAAAACUCUUAAGCACCAAGGCUCAGGUAAGCUCCACUGGUUAGCAAUUGUCGCACAACAAUCCACCAGAAGAUGAUGAAUUCUAAUUCCAUGGAGAGAGGACAUGGAUCCUCAUAUUUGGGCCCUCCCAGACCUCUUCUUUUGGUUCUGAUAUGUACUCUUUUUGCUAUAAUAAAAGUUUUAUCAUAAUUAUAGUGCUUUCCUGUAUUCUGUAAGUGUAAUAAUUCUAGUUAAUGAUUGAAACUGAAGGGUUUGUAGGUUAUCCUCAUGUAUUUGUAACCAGCUGAUCAGAAGUGACAGCAGCCCUGGAAGCCCCCAAGCUUGUGACUGGUGUCUGAAAUGAGGGCAGUUUUGUGGAGAACUAUGCCCCUAAUCUAUGAAGUUUAGCUUACCUCUGGGUAAUUCAGGUCAGAAUUGUAUUGCAAAGGCUUUAUCAUAUUAUUAUCACUUGUAGUUACAUUUACCCUGAGGUACCUUCUCAUAUCUCUAAGUUUGCAUAGGAGUUGUGGUUAUUUUAAAAGAGUGAACCUAUUUCUCACUAUACAACGAAAAACAAACCACUGUAAUUGUAGAUACUGAUUAUUUUUGAAGUAAACUAAACACAGACAUUAUUCAUCCAACAAACUUUUAUUAAAUAUGUUCCACAGUUACAUUCUACUUGUCAGGAUACAAGGAUAAAGCACAUAAUUCCUGCUGUCAGAAAGCUUAUAGUUUAGGAAACACUCAGACAAACCAUUAUAGUUGAAUUAGUCAGUGCUAUAAAAGAAAUAUGAAAUAGGAAGAAUAGCAAUGCCAGAUGAGUGGAUGGGGAAGAAAAGCAGAGGCUUGGAAGUAGUGACAUCAGGCUUCAAGAAUGAGAAUUGCACAGGAGGAAGAGGUCAGAGCGGGGAAAGUGCGUAACACCGAAGGUAGACAGUAGAUUGCUCCCUGAGACCUGAUAUAAAGUUGACUAGCACACAGGAGAGGCAAAAAUUGUGGUUUCAUAGCAACACUGGAGCCAGAUCAUAAAUGGACUUAAAUACACGGUGUACAUAUAUUUACAUACAUUUUAUCUUGAAUAUAAUGGGAAGCACAGAAAUGUUUCAAGCAGAGGAAUAAAAUAAAGAUGGGUUUCAGAAAAAGAAAUCAUUUUGGCAGCAGUGAUGAAGAUGAAGAUUAAAUGUCAGAUGAGACUGGAAUCAGUCUUAGGAAGUGAUGAAGCAAUUCUGGAGGAAAGAAAUAAGGUCUUGGAAUUAUGACAGGAAGAGGAAAAGGGAAAUCAGAAAGAAAUGCACAUACAGUGGGAAAAUGGGAGUUCAGUUUUGCACACACAGUAUUGAGCUGCUGUGGAAAAUGCAGUUGAAUAUAUGAGAUGGCAGCUCAGGAAAGAAAUCCCAAGUGAAAAAACACGUAUGAAAGUCAUAGCUUUAGCUGGGUAUUACGUGGCUCAUGCCUGUAAUCCCAGCACAUCGGGAGACUGAGGCGUGAA